rnacentral:tRNA from 1 species
GGAGAAAUGGCUGAGUGGUCGAAAGCGCCUUCCUGCUAAGAAGGUGAUCUCGUAAAAAGGGAUCCGAGGGUUCAAAUCCCUCUUUCUCCGCCA